rnacentral:rRNA from 1 species
UACGUAGGGUCCGAGCGUUGUCCGGAAUUAUUGGGCGUAAAGAGCUCGUAGGCGGUUUGUCGCGUCGAAUGUGAAAUCCCGGGGCUCAACCCCGGGCCUGCAUUCGAUACGGGCAGACUAGAGUUCGGUAGGGGAGUCUGGAAUUCCUGGUGUAGCGGUGAAAUGCGCAGAUAUCAGGAGGAACACCGAUGGCGAAGGCAGGUCUCUGGGCCACUACUGACGCUGAGAAGCGAAAGCAUGGGGAGCGAACAGG